UGCCAGCCGCCGCGGUAAGACGAAGGUGGCAACCGUUGUUCGGAAUUACUGGGCAUAAAGAGCACGUAGGCGGACUACUAAGUCGGGUGUGAAAUCCCUCGGCCCAACCGAGGAACUGCGCCCGAUACUGGUAGUCUUGAGGACAGGAGGGGAGCGUGGAAUUCCUGGUGGAGCGGUGAAAUGCGUUGAUAUCAGGAGGAACACCGGCGGCGAAGGCGACGCUCUGGCCUGUUUCUGACGCUGAGGUGCGAAAGCUAGGGGAGCAAACGGGAUUAGAUA
rnacentral:rRNA from 1 species